rnacentral:rRNA from 1 species
AUUGAUUUUAUGCUUGCAUAAAUGAUUUUUGGAUUCGGAGCGAGUGGCGAACUGGUGAGUAACACGUGGGUAACCUGCCCCGAAGCGGGGGAUAACAUUUGGAAACAAGUGCUAAUACCGCAUAAUUAGUUGGAACCGCAUGGUUCCAACUUGAAAGAUGGCUCUGCUAUCACUUUGGGAUGGACCCGCGCCGUAUUAGUUAGUUGGUGAGAUAAAAGCCCACCAAGACGAUGAUACGUAGCCGACCUGAGAGGGUAAUCGGCCACAUUGGGACUGAGACACGGCCCAGACUCCUACGGGAGGCAGCAGUAGGGAAUCUUCCACAAUGGACGAAAGUCUGAUGGAGCAACGCCGCGUGAGUGAUGAAGGUUUUCGGAUCGUAAAACUCUGUUGUUAAAGAAGAACAAGUGUUAGAGUAACUGUUAACACUUUGACGGUAUUUAACCAGAAAGCCACGGCUAACUACGUGCCAGCAGCCGCGGUAAUACGUAGGUGGCAAGCGUUGUCCGGAUUUAUUGGGCGUAAAGCGAGCGCAGGCGGUUUUGUAAGUCUGCUGUGAAAGCCCUCAGCUCAACUGAGGAAGUGCAGUGGAAACUACAAAACUUGAGUACAGAAGGGGAAAGUGGAACUCCAUGUGUAGCGGUGAAAUGCGUAGAUAUAUGGAAGAACACCAGUGGCGAAGGCGGCUUUCCGGUCUGUUACUGACGCUGAGGCUCGAAAGCAUGGGUAGCGAACAGGAUUAGAUACCCUGGUAGUCCAUGCCGUAAACGAUGAAUACUAGGUGUUGGAGGGUUUCCGCCCUUCAGUGCCGCAGCUAACGCAUUAAGUAUUCCGCCUGGGGAGUACGACCGCAAGGUUGAAACUCAAAGGAAUUGACGGGGGCCCGCACAAGUGGUGGAGCAUGUGGUUUAAUUCGAUGCUACGCGAAGAACCUUACCAGCUCUUGACAUCUUCUGCCAACCCAAGAGAUUGGGCGUUCCCUUCGGGGACAGAAUGACAGGUGGUGCAUGGUUGUCGUCAGCUCGUGUCGUGAGAUGUUGGGUUAAGUCCCGCAACGGGCGCAACCCUUAUUAUUAGUUGCCAGCAUUUAGUUGGGCACUCUAGUGAGACUGCCGGUGAUAAA